AACGAACGCUGGCGGCAUGCCUAACACAUGCAAGUCGAACGAGACCUUCGGGUCUAGUGGCGCACGGGUGCGUAACGCGUGGGAACCUGCCCUUAGGUUCGGAAUAACUCCCCGAAAGGGGUGCUAAUACCGGAUAAUGUCUUCGGACCAAAGAUUUAUCGCCUUUGGAUGGGCCCGCGUUGGAUUAGCUAGUUGGUAGGGUAAAAGCCUACCUAGGCGACGAUCCAUAGCUGGUCUGAGAGGAUGAUCAGCCACACUGGGACUGAGACACGGCCCAGACUCCUACGGGAGGCAGCAGUGGGGAAUAUUGGACAAUGGGCGAAAGCCUGAUCCGGCAAUGCCGCGUGAGUGAUGAAGGCCUUAGGGUUGUAAAGCUCUUUUACCCGGGAUGAUAAUGACAGUACCGGGAGAAUAAGCUCCGGCUAACUCCGUG
rnacentral:rRNA from 1 species